rnacentral:rRNA from 1 species
GACAGAGGUGCCAAGCGUUAGGCGGAAUCACUGGGCUUAAAGCGUGUGUAGGCGGGUGCCUAAGGAACUUGUGAAAUCCCACGGCUCAACCGUGGAACUGCUGGGUAUACUGGGUGCCUUGGGUCAUCUAGGGGCUGCCGGAACAAAUGGUGGAGCGGUGAAAUGCGUAGAUAUCAUUUGGAACGCCAACGGCGAAAGCAGGCAGCUGGGGAUGCACCGACGCUGAGACACGAAAGCCAGGGGAGCGAACGGG